rnacentral:rRNA from 1 species
GAGCAGCAGUGGGGAAUAUUGUACAAUGGGCGCAAGCCUGAUGCAGCCAUGCCGCGUGUGUGAAGAAGGCCUUCGGGUUGUAAAGCACUUUCAGUCGUGAGGAAGGUGGUGUAGUUAAUAGCUGCAUCAUUUGACGUUAGCGACAGAAGAAGCACCGGCUAACUCCGUGCCAGCAGCCGCGGUAAUACGGAGGGUGCGAGCGUUAAUCGGAAUUACUGGGCGUAAAGCGCAUGCAGGUGGUUUGUUAAGUCAGAUGUGAAAGCCCGGGGCUCAACCUCGGAAUAGCAUUUGAAACUGGCGAACUAGAGUACUGUAGAGGGGGGUAGAAUUUCAGGUGUAGCGGUGAAAUGCGUAGAGAUCUGAAGGAAUACCAGUGGCGAAGGCGGCCCCCUGGACAGAUACUGACACUCAGAUGCGAAAGCGUGGGGAGCAAACAGGAUUAGAUACCCUGGUAGUCCACGCCGUAAACGAUGUCUACUUGGAGGUUGUGGCCUUGAGCCGUGGCUUUCGGAGCUAACGCGUUAAGUAGACCGCCUGGGGAGUACGGUCGCAAGAUUAAAACUCAAAUGAAUUGACGGGGGCCCGCACAAGCGGUGGAGCAUGUGGUUUAAUUCGAUGCAACGCGAAGAACCUUACCUACUCUUGACAUCCAUAGAACUUAGCAGAGAUGCUUUGGUGCCUUUCGG